GUACACACCGCCCGUCGCUACUACCGAUUGAAUGGUUUAGUGAGGUCUCGGGACUAGCGCUCCUGAGGUGGCAACACCUUAUUUGCGCUGGGAACUUGAACAAACUUGAUCAUUUAGGGGAAGUAAAAGUCGUAACAAGGUUUCCGUAGGUGAACCUGCAGAAGGAUCA
rnacentral:rRNA from 1 species